GGGACGGGGCAGCAGAGCGCUGGGGGGGAGAGAGGAGGAGGGAUAGGGGGCGGGAAGAGCGGGAGGCUGAGAGGCGGGGACAGAGUUGCGGGAGGGACAGUGGAGAGAGACCUGGAAUGGGGGAGAGGCGGAAAAGUGCGGGAGGGUGCGGAGCGGGAAGCUAUGUGUGGGGAGAAGAGUGGGGGUGACCUGGAAGGAGGGAAGUAACUGGAGGCAGAAGGAAGAAGCAGGAGUGAGGGAGACCUGGAAGGGAGAAAGAGGGGAAAAUGAAGAGACCUGGAAGUGAGGAGAGGGGGAAGUGCGGGAGGUGAGAAGCGGGAGGCUGUGGGAGGGGAAAAGAGAGCCGGAGGGAGUGGGGAGAGAAGCAGGAGGCUGCGGAAACAGGAGGCGGGGAGACCUGGAAGGGGCAAAGGAACUGCAGGCAGAAGGGAGGAAGAAGCAGGAGUGGGGGACAAGUGGAGGGAGAAGGGAGAGAGGUGGCCCAGGGAGGGUGCGGAGGGGGGAGGAGGAGCCCCCCUUCUCCGCCUGACCUCCCCAGCCCAGGUGGGCCGUGUUAGGGAAGCUCUCCGACCUCGGCAUCCCCAACAUCUGCGGGAUGGAGUGGAGGGAGCCCCCAGGUUGGAAUCACUGAGCCAGAGUUCGAAUCCAGCCUGAGUGGUCCACCUAUAUGACGUGGAACGAGCCCCUUCUCUAGGAGUCUGUUUCCUUUCUUGGUAAAAUAAAAGGACUGGACCAGAGCCGGCCUUGUGAACCUGGGACCCCUGAGGCCCGAACUGUUCCGUAACCGUCGCGCUAAGUGGUUUCCUUGGUAGUCCCCCGUAGUUCCUAUUAGGGGUUCUGGUUUCUCCAGACUGCACACAAAGCAGGGACACUAGACUCGGGACUCCCUCAGCUUGCUUCCUUCCCUCCCAACAUCCUGUGACUCAUUAAACGGGGCGGGCGCUAGGGAUGAAAAGCAGACCCUGUCCGCAGAGAGCCUUUGGGGGAGGGAGGGAGGCGGACACGAGGGGUAAACAACCCUGGAAACCAAGGAGAGGGAUGAGGGGGGCUCCACGAAAACAGAAUAUUCCGCCUCCUCUAACCUACAUUGUCUUCUGGCUGGCUUGCCACCUGCACCAACUGGAUCAAAUGGGCCAAGCGAAGAGCAAGCUGACCUCAGAUUUAGAGGCGACCAAGCAGAGGGUCUGAAUAUGAGCUCAGCCCCUCGAGUCUGCCCCUCCUCACAAUUGCUUCCUGAAAAUUAUCUAGACGGCUAAAUUACUUGAAUAACAACCAUGUUUGAGAUAGAGGGGCUGUAAGUUAUUAUCUAGUCCAAUCCCCCCCCCCCUUACAGAUGAGAAAACUGAUUUUAAAGAUGUUGAACAAUUUGCCUGGCACCACACCACAAUUCAUAUUGGAACCCAGUUCUCUGACUCCAAAUCCGAUUUUCUUCCCAUUGGAUGGUUGCAUGGAUGGAUGGGAGCUAUCCUAUUAGAAUCUGUCAACUGAAACUUAGUCAUGCAUUAACUUCAAUGGUUUGGGUCAGCCUUCUUUCCAGCUUUCUCCUGCCGUAGGACAACCCUACUCCUUUGCCAGAGACUUGUUUUCAAGGGAAUGGAUGCCCACCAUUGGUCUCCUAAUUAAUGCCUUUCCAUCUCUCAAGACCAUACCCACUGCAAUCAUCAGAGUUUAUCUUGAAUAUUUGCCUAAGGCCUGCUUCCCUUGGGAAGAGGGAAGGCUGUUCCUGGCCAAUGGACCAUGGACUUGACUGGCUGGCUAUAGCUGUUUCCCACGAUCUGGGCAGAGUUCCAGAAUUAAACUGCAGUGAAGGACAGAGGGAUGAAUAUCAGGGACAGCCUCAAGAAAUCAAGGCCAGGCCAGUCUUAGAAAAUGAGACAACCAGAGCCCUAUUGAAGUGGGUGAGCCAACCAAACAUGAAAAUGGAAAU